UUUGGUGAUGAUGGCAGAGAGGUCACACCCGUUCCCAUACCGAACACGGAAGUUAAGCUCUCUAGCGCCGAUGGUAGUUGGGACAUUGACC
rnacentral:rRNA from 1 species